rnacentral:rRNA from 1 species
AGUGAACGCUGGCGGUAGGCCUAACACAUGCAAGUCGAACGGCAGCACAGUAAGAGCUUGCUCUUACGGGUGGCGAGUGGCGGACGGGUGAGGAAUACAUCGGAAUCUACUUUUUCGUGGGGGAUAACGUAGGGAAACUUACGCUAAUACCGCAUACGACCUACGGGUGAAAGCAGGGGAUCUUCGGACCUUGCGCGAUUGAAUGAGCCGAUGUCGGAUUAGCUAGUUGGCGGGGUAAAGGCCCACCAAGGCGACGAUCCGUAGCUGGUCUGAGAGGAUGAUCAGCCACACUGGAACUGAGACACGGUCCAGACUCCUACGGGAGGCAGCAGUGGGGAAUAUUGGACAAUGGGCGAAAGCCUGAUCCAGCCAUACCGCGUGGGUGAAGAAGGCCUUCGGGUUGUAAAGCCCUUUUGUUGGGAAAGAAAAGCAGCAUGUGAAUACCCCGCUGUUCUGACGGUACCCAAAGAAUAAGCACCGGCUAACUACGUG